rnacentral:rRNA from 1 species
CAGUAGCCGCGGGAAUGCGAAGGGGGCUAGCGUUGCUCGGAAUGACUGGGCGUAAAGGGCGCGUAGGCGGAUGGCACAGUCAGAUGUGAAAUUCCCGGGCUUAACCUGGGGGCUGCAUUUGAUACGUGUUGUCUAGAGUGAGGAAGAGGGUCGUGGAAUUCCCAGUGUAGAGGUGAAAUUCGUAGAUAUUGGGAAGAACACCGGUGGCGAAGGCGGCGACCUGGUCCAUUACUGACGCUGAGGCGCGAAAGCGUGGGGAGCAAACAGGAUUAGAUACCCGGGUAGUCCCUGUCUCUUAUAC